rnacentral:rRNA from 1 species
AGUAGUUUGAUCAGUGGCUCGAGGACGACGCUGGCGGCGCGCCUAACACAUGCAAGUCGAACGGAGCUUGGAGAGCUUGCUUUUCAAGCUUAGUGGCGGACGGGUGAGUAACACGUGAGCAACCUGCCUUUCAGAGGGGGACAACAGUUGGAAAUUACUGCUAAUACCGCAUAAGCGCACAGUUUCGCAUGAAACAGUGUGAAAAGAUUUAUCGGGAUAAGAUGGACCCGCGUCUGAUUAGCUAGUUGGUGAGGUAACGGCCCACCAAGGCGACGAUCAGUAGCCGGCCUGAGAGGGUGAACGGCCACAUUGGGACUGAGACACGGCCCAAACUCC